ACCUGGCAGAGGGGCGCGUAGCAGGCACCCAGCAGUCAGACAGCAGAGUGCGCCAAGGCUGCAGUAAAUAUGUCUGCAAAAACUAAGUCUGGGUCACAGAAAAGGAAAGAGAGAAAGGAGAAAGGACAGGCAGAAGAGAGGGCGUCAGUAUGUCUCACAGUUUUUCUCAAAGAAAGAAUCAGCAGUUGAUGAUAUGUCAGCAGGUGUCCCCUCACAACCCAAUGAGCCCCAAGAAGGUGAGCAAUGUAGCAUGUUAGCUAGCAGCCUCAUUUAAGGCGGUCUGUGGGACGAGGCUGGUUAGCUUCCGAUUCGGGAAACGGCUAAAGGGCCAUUACACCCAAUUUUUCUCUACUCUGACCAUCUUUAAUCUGCUCUAGCUCAAAAACUACAACAGCCACACUGUUCAAACCCGUUCUAGAUUAUUCUACUCUAAUAGCAGAUUACAUCCAACCUUAUGUGGGAUUUGUGAAACCUUUUCCUGAUUUGUGAAACUUCAACAAAGCCUGAUUUAUGCGUUUUUUCAGCAUCUGGCCAACGAUGGAACAGCUGUAGCUCAAAAACUACAACAGCCACACUGUUCAAACCUGUUCUAGAUUAUUCUACUAUAAUAGCAGAUUGCAUCCAACCUUGUUUGGGAUUUGUGAAACCUUUCCCUGAUUUGUGAAACUUCAACAAAGCCUGAUUUAUGCGUUUUUCAGCAUCGGGCCAACACUGGAACAGCUCUAGCUCAAAAACUACAACAGCCACACUGUUCAAACCUGUUCUAGAUUAUUCUACAAUAAUAGCAGAUUGCUUCAGUCCACCCCCUCCAAGCAAGAAAAAAACGAACAACUUAUAAACAAAAAGGUUGCUGCUCAUACUGGGGAGGGGAAGGAAACAUUGGAGAUGAAACAAUUACCAUGAUCAACACAUGCACAAUUGACAAUCUCCCGUACAUUUUGCAUUUGGCAAUUAAACGAAAAGCAGGGGUUAAAAACGACAUUGAAGGACCUUUCAAACAUGGCAUGUGGGUGUCAACUUUGUUUGAGGUAGACAAACUUUUUGACAAGAAGGAAUGGGCACAGGGUAAAAUAUUGUGGUUGAAGAAAAUUGGCAGAUUUAAUGGACAUUCUUGGCCACACAGAAUCACAUAUCACACAGACAAAAUGUUGUGUUACAGAUAAUGUAAUAAUAACCAUACAAGUUAAUAAUUAUUUUUUUCAGCAACCCGAAGCCCUGCCAUGAAAAAGAUGCCCAACACGAACGUGUGUUUUUGCAUGGACUUCCUUGUGUUCUUCUGGUUACAGGAUUGCACAAAGGACAUGUUUCUGACAAGCUGUAUCCAACAUCCUUGCCAUUACUUGUGACAGUUCUUGGUGGAAAGUAAGACUUGCAUAAGAUAUCAAUUACUUGACUUUUUUUUUACAUUUAUUCUCUGCUGUUUUACAUACAAUUUCUAUUGUUAUAACAUUUAUUUUUUUGCUUUAUGGCUGCAGGUGUGGUUUCACUGCUGAUCGAAUGUUUCUGCAAAACAGAAAAUCAUUUUUUAACCAUAUAGAACAUUAUUUUGGGAAAUACAUAACGUACAACUGCAGCCAAUUAGUUAUUAUCUGUACAUCAUAUGAAAAACCGUAAUGACUGAAUUUCAUUAUGUAAAAACCAGUACAAGAUCAGAUAAUAUUUUUUGCUGGCUUAUCAAAUAGUGUUGCAAUAAGGUGGCCCCACUGUGUAACUGCAUAUUCUACUGGUUGUUGAAGUGACCACAUGUCCAUACAUUGCAGAACUACACUGUAUUAGUAAAUUCCCAUGGAUGUAGUCAUAAUAGAACAAUUACUUAUCACAGGCCAGCGGCUCUAUGUAACUAGCCAAAAUAAAUAAAUAAAAAGAAAUAUAGAAAAUCAUUCAUCCAUCAGUUGGCAUCCACUUUGUUAAGUUGUGGGGGCAGCAGCUUCAGCUGCGAGACCCAGACUUCCCUCUCCCCAGCCUCCUAGUCCAGCUCCUCAGGAGGAAUUCUAAGGUGUUCCCAGGCCAGCAUUCAUACAUAGUCCCUCUAGCAUGCCCUGGGUCGUCCUUCCAGUUGGACGUGCCCAGAACACCCAGCACAGGAAUAAUGCCAACAUAGAUUAAAGACAUGUAAUGGCUUUGGGAAAUUGAAAUUAAUGUCAGACACUAUCUCUGUGCUGUUUCAUAAAACAGGUAUGAGCCAGCAGCUGUCACAUAUCACCUUGGCGCAAAAAGUCACUUUGUGGCAUUCCACAAACUAGGAACAGACCAACAGCGGCACUUCUAUGACAGCUUGGCAGAAUCAAAACAAGCAGGGAGUGGAGAUGUAAGAGAUGCACAGAGGACCAUCCCAAAAACUCUUCAAACUAAAGCCAGACUUGGCAACUGCCUUUUAUUGUUGUGUUCAGUACCUUGGGCUUCUGCGGGUUGUGGAAGGUGCUCUAUGAAUGAAUGAAUGAAUGAAUGAAAACUAUUAGUUAUUAGUUCAAAGACCAAUAAAUACCCAACUGCAUAAAAAACACACUCAGACAUUGAACCAGACACUGAAUUUCUUUCUUUCAUUAAUUUUUUUAAAGGCCCACAUACAGUCCAUACAGCUUCUCCUUCAACCACCAACCCUCCUCAACACCACAACCUCCCUUCUCAGGCCCUGUCCACAUGUAGCCGGGGAUCUGCCAAAACGUAGAUAUUUUUCUACGUUUUGGCCUGUCAUCCACACGAAAACGGAGUUUUUUCACACGAAAACGGAUCUUUUUAAAAACUCCGGCCAAAGUGAAGAUCUGCGUUUUCUCCGUUUUGGGUGUCUGCGUGUGGACAGACAAAACCGGAGUUUUAAGGUCCGCAACGUCACUUUCCACGACAAAAAAAUGCUGACAUCACGUGUGCGACCUGUGUUUACACUAGCCGACAGCAUGGAUGCCCUCAGAGCUGCGCUCGCUUUAUCAAUUGUCCAAGCGCUUUUUGCUUGUUUGUUUUUGCAAGCGGAAUCACUGCUCCUUGCGGAAGACCACAGACGAAGGACGAGGUUAAGAACGGGGGAAGUACUGCCGCCUACCGGUCUGGCAUGUUCUUAACAACGUAUUUAUCUGGGUACGUGUGGACAGAGUUUAUUUUUAAAACGAGGUGGUGUGGAUGCAAAUUUUUGGAGGGGCGGAUAUUCGUUUAAAAAAAACCCGGCUACGUGUGGACUAGGCCUCAGUUACAUUUGACCAGGUGACGGGAGAAGAGGCGGCUUAAGGGCAGGAAAGCUGCAGGACCCAGACUGCUCAAAUGCUGCUCCAGCUUUGUAAAGUUGUCAUGCAAAUGUUGAACCUGAACCUUUGUUUGGAGCAGGUCCCCAUCCUGUGGAAGACCUUGUCAUGAGCCGGGGUGAGUACUUUUCUCAACUUUCCACCUUGAGUUGUGUUUUGCAGGAGAGGGAGUGUUCCAGCCGCACCUGGUCUGCAAUCGGCGGGUCUCCUACAUAAGGUGGAUGAAGAACACAGCUCGACGCCGGAUGAUUGCUACAGCUUGGUUUUCUCGACACCUCAGGAUACCACACUUGUGCUCCAUAGGAUUUCCGGACCUCACUCACCUGACCGACCCGCUCUCUUACUCACCUCACGCUCCCUCUCCUGGACUCCUCCACUUUGAUACACCCCGGCUCACAACCUCCCCCCUCACUCCAGAGCUUUCCCUCAUCCCCAAUGCUGCACUCCCGUUCCCCAUCCCACUGGACUUCCCAGUGCGCCUUCAGUUAAACCUUUUCAUAAUAAAAUAUAUUAUUUAUCCAUC